AACGCACAUUGCGCCUAUUAGUAUUCUAGUAGGCAUGCCUGUUCGAGCGUCAUUUCAGUCUCAGACUUCUGAAGUUGGAAUAUGUGAUCUCACAGUUCCUAAAUACAAUAACGGAUAUAAUGAUAGCCGGGUGUAGUAAAAUCUCGCCCAGGUUUUUGUUAGUGUCCGUCUCUCUUAUAAAAUGUUGACCUCGAAUCAGGUAGGAAUACCCGCUGAACUUAA
rnacentral:misc_RNA from 1 species